UAAACCAGUUUAAUGUUUUCUGCACAGACCCUAGCUUUUCUUAAAUUUUAUACAUUGGAAAGCUCAUGUUUGUAUUGGACCUGCUGGUUUC
rfam:Tupaia chinensis contig104850, whole genome shotgun sequence.